GUGUCAGCCGCCGCGGUAAUACAGAGGUCUCAAGCGUUGUUCGGAAUUACUGGGCGUAAAGGGUGCGCAGGCCGCGCGGGCAGUCAAUUGUGUAAUUCAGGGGCUCAACCCCUGGACUGCGCUUGAUACUUCCGUGCUAGAGCUUUGGAGAGGAGUCUGGAAUUCUCGGUGUAGCAGUGAAAUGCGUGGAUAUCGAGAAGAACACUUAGGGCGAAGGCAAGACUCUGGACAAAUGCUGACGCUCAUGCACGAAGGCUAGGGUAGCGAACGGGAUUAGAUACCCCUGUAGUCC
rnacentral:rRNA from 1 species